GGANGGUGCGAGCGUUGUCCGGAAUCACUGGGCGUAAAGGGCGCGUAGGUGGCCCGUUAAGUGGCUGGUGAAAUCCCGCGGCUCAACUGCGGGGCUGCCGGUCAGACUGGCGAGCUAGAGCACGGUAGGGGCAGAUGGAAUUCCCGGUGUAGCGGUGGAAUGCGUAGAGAUCGGGAAGAAUACCAGUGGCGAAGGCGUUCUGCUGGGCCGUUGCUGACACUGAGGCGCGACAGCGUGGGGAGCAAACAGGAUUAGAUACCCUGGUAGUCCACGCCGUAAACGAUGGACACUAGACGUCGGGGGGAGCGACCCUCCCGGUGUCGUCGCUAACGCAGUAAGUGUCCCGCCUGGGGAGUACGGCCGCAAGGCUG
rnacentral:rRNA from 1 species